rnacentral:tRNA from 1 species
GUCAGUUGGUAGAGCACGACCUUGCCAAGGUCGGGGUCGCGAGUUCGAGUCUCGUUUCCCGCUCCA